rnacentral:rRNA from 1 species
CAAUAGCGUAUACUUAAGUUGUUGCAGUUAAAAAGCUCGUAGUUGGAUUUCGGGUGUGAACGACCGGUCCGUCUUUGAUGUGUACUGGUUGGUUGCGCCUUAUUGUCGAGGACGUGGUUCUAGCUUUCAUUAGCCGGGACACGGAGUCGGCAGCGUUACUUUGAGAAAAUUAGAGUGUUCAAAGCAGGCUAUCGCUCUGAAUACUACAGCAUGGAAUAACACGAUAGGACUCCGAGCCUAUUCUGUUGGUCUUCGGGACCGGAGUAAUGAUUAAGAGGGACAGUUGGGGGCAUUCGUAUUCCGAUGUCAGAGGUGAAAUUCUUGGAUUAUCGGAAGACGAGCAUCUGCGAAAGCAUUUGCCAAGGAUGUUUUCAUUAA